AUUAAACGCUGGCGGCAUGCCUUACACAUGCAAGUCGAACGGCAGCACGGGGGCAACCUUGGUGGCGAGUGGCGAACGGGUGAGUAAAGCAUCGGAACGUGCCCUGGAGUGGGGGAUAACGUAGCGAAAGUUACGCUAAUACCGCAUAUUCUGUGAGCAGGAAAGCAGGGGAUCGCAAGACCUUGCGCUCUGGGAGCGGCCGAUGUCGGAUUAGCUAGUUGGUGGGGUAAAGGCCUACCAAGGCGACGAUCCGUAGCGGGUCUGAGAGGAUGAUCCGCCACACUGGGACUGAGACACGGCCCAGACUCCUACGGGAGGCAGCAGUGGGGAAUUUUGGACAAUGGGCGAAAGCCUGAUCCAGCCAUGCCGCGUGAGUGAAGAAGGCCUCGGUUGGUAAAGCUCUUUCGGUGGGGAAGGAAAUUAGCAUAGGCUAAUACCCU
rnacentral:rRNA from 1 species